rnacentral:lncRNA from 1 species
GCCUGACAUAGAAGAUGUGUUCAAAAAGUCAAGUGAAUGAAUUUAAAAAAUUUUUUUUACUUGGAUUUGGUUGAAGAGGCGAUUGCAGUCACUUGCGUCAGGCAAUCUCGAUUGUGCCUCCUUGAAAAACACUUUCGCUUCCCCUCCUACGACCAAUGACUCACUCCUGGGGCAGAUAACACAGUUGUGAGGUGCAGAAUUUCACUUUCUCAAAUCUUUUCAAAAUCUGUUUUUCUUUUUUUAAAAAAUAUUCUCCUUCAAAAACAAGAGCCCAAAGAGAUUUUUGGAAUCUCUGGACUCAGUGUUAACUGACAGAAUACUAAAGAUGAUUGGAACUUCAUCUCUGCAGAACAUCCAAAAGAGAAUGGGCGGGAGAGUCACAGAGCUAGGCAUUCGCCCUGGCUCCACUCAAGGCUCAUAGGCCUUAGUGCCAUCUUCUCACUCAACUUCCACGGCACCUCGAUGUUUCCUGGAAGCUGAAAAACUGGAAAUGAACCCAGGAGGACACUAAAGAGGGACACAGCACACCAAGCAGUGGAACCAGUGGGACGCUGUGCAGUUUGAGAGGGCCUCCCCAGCCUCUCUAGGGAGAGGUUAAAACCUCAUUGGCGCAAGCCAAAGUUACCUCUGCUGCAGUCGGUUCAUGUCUACUCGUGUUCAGCAAGCAUGCUAUAAGGUGGUGCACAAGGCCUAUUUGCUGAGGGACAUCGAAGAGAAGGGUGUAGGCGAACCAGGAAGGUGGAGAUGUCAUCCUCCAGCCCCAUCUUUCUCCAGUCCCCAGUGAGCUGCACAACAUAAAGUCUGACCAUGCUGCCCUCUGAAAUGAACUUUCUUCGUGAAGCACCGCAUCCUCAUCCCACCAGUGACAGCUGAUAAGAGUAAAACUGUCCAAAGGGACCUGACAGCACUGACCAAAGGGGCAGAGGCUAGCCCGAGUCUCACUUUCAAGAUGUGUGCUGGUUAGUUUUUUGUCAGCCCCGGAUCACCUGGGAAGAGGGAGUGUCAAUCGAGGAAUCGGUUUUCAUCAGAUUGGCCGGUAGGCAAAUCGUUGGGAUAUUCCCUGAUUAAUUAUUCAUGUGGGAGGGCCCAGAGCACCCUGGGCAGAUGGUCCCGGGUUGCUUAAGAAAGUAAAAUGAACAAGCAAUGAGAGAGCAAGCCAGUGAGCAGUGCUCCUCCAUGGUGGUCUUGGCUCCUUCCUCCAGGUUCCUGCCUUGACUCCCUGGGCAAAGGGUAUCUGAUGGUGAGGAGGAGGAGAAGAGCUGAGCCUGUCAGAGAUACAGGAGAACCGUGGGUUUUAACUUCUCUGAAGAGAGGAAGGUGCAGAAGAACAUACACCAAGUCAGACUAACACUACUUGCUGACUUGCCUAAUGAGACAUUCUACCUGACAAAUAGCUCUGCUUUUUCCCCAGGGGAAAAAAAAAUCCAUCUCGCCAAAUCAAAGGACACAGUGCCUUCUCCCCCAGCAGACAGCUGACAUGCUGGAAACUCUUCUAGGUGACCACCAAUGGUAGCACAGACCUGGGCAGUGAAUCUGUGACACAGAGGUAGAUCUGCCCAGGGCCCCCAGCCCAGGUGAGGUCACAUGUUUAGGCAAGGCUCAGUUCUGUCUCAGUGACACCAAAAGCCCAGGGAGCCUCAGCUCUGCCCUGUCUUCAGAAAGAUUGUUCAGGUAACAAUAUGGUACACAUGUACACUACUGUAGUACUUUGAAAGAAAAUGUCCCUCAAGGGCACUGGCACUAUUAGGAGGCAUAGUUUUGUUGGAGUAGGUAUCACCUUGUUGGAGGUCUCCUUUGCUCAAGAUAUGUGACACAGUUCACUUUCUGUUGCCUAUGGAUGGAGAUGUAGAACUCUCAGCUCCUUCUCCAACACCAUGUCUGCCUGUACGCUGCCAUGUCCUGCCAUGAUGAUAAUGGACUAAAUCUCUGAAACUACAAGCCACCUCAAUUCAAUGUUUUUCUAUGUCAGAGGUGCUGUGGUCAUGGUGUCUCUUCAAACAAUAGAAACCCUAACUAAGAAACAACCUAACCACAUACUGCAAUGUAUACUUGCAUACACACCUAUACAUAUGUACACAGUCAUGACAGCUAUUCCUAAGCAAAGCCAUUCUACAGUGAACUGUGAGUGGAUCCUGGCUAAAUAAGCUCAGAAAUGUUCUUGGUACAAGCAGAGCAUUUAAAUAUAUAGAGUGUUAGAUGAUAACUCCAGAAAUCGAAAUUAAUCUGUUACGUGUGGGGGAGGCACAAUAUAAAUAGGAAAGAGGCUUAGUUGAAAGAUAUAACUUAGGUAACUUAGGAUGUGUAGAAAUUAAUUUCAAACAGUUUAACAAGAUAUCUACAUAUCUAUCUACAGAUAUGUAGAUAGAUAAAUGAAAGGUAGAUAGAUGAUUGAGAUGGAUGGAUAGAUAGACAGCAGAUAAACAGAUACAUAUAAUAGACGCGCAAGUGAUAGAAAGUACAAAUAUAGAAGGAGGUUUAUGAUUGUUAGAUCAAAAUCAAGCCUUUAGUAGCCUAUUCUUUUAAUUCUUCUUUAUAUUUGAUUUUUUAAAAAAAUAAGGAAUAGAAAUGAGGACUGGAGAGGCUCGGGGUUAAAAGUGCUUACUCCUCUUGCAGAGGACCAGGGGUCAGUUCCAAGCAUCCACAUCAGGUGGCCUACAGCUGCCUAUAACUCCAGUUUCAAUGGAUUUGAUACCUUCUUGACUCCUAGAGGUACUUGGAAGCACAUGGUGCACAUAGAUUCACAAAGGCGCACACAUACGCACAUAUAAAUAAAACCUUUUAAAACUUGGAGAAAAAUAAAUUCUUAAAAAGAAAAAAGAAAUAGGAGUGAACAGAAAAAUGAAGAAUAAUUAGUUACAAAAUACUGAAUACACUGUUCAUUCCCAUAAUAUGCAAUUAAAUCAUGAUCGUUUAUUUAUUUAUUUUUGGAUUUUCCAAGGCAGGGUUUCUCUGUGGCUUUGGAGGCUGUCCUAGAACUAGCUCUUGUAGACCAGGCUGGUCUUGAACUCACAGAGAUCCGCCUGCCUCUGCCUCCCAAGUGCUGGGAUUAAAGGAUUGCGCCACCACCGCCCGGAAUAAGUCAUAAUCAUGAUUGGGGAUUGUGAAGAGACAGAAGGGAGAGAUGUGCAGAUGAAGAGGCAUUAGUGGAGCCACAGGAUGACUUAAUGAAGAACACAGAAGGACUUCACCCUGUUCAGCUAGCUGUCCUCCAUAUCCUCAUUCAGGCUUUCCCAAUGACCCACUGAAUGAAGGGUGUUAUUCGGCUUCUGUUUGUGUAAAGACAGCUUACCUAAAGCAAUUGAAGUUAGUGACCCAAAGUCACAAGACAUGUAACAGACAGAACCUGGGUCAAAGCCGGUCUUCUGGUAACAAGCGUUGGGUUCUUUUCUGGGUAUCAUGAGUCUUCACAAGAGUUCUCAUAGUAGCAGACCUUGAGACAGGGGUUCAAAUACAAUAAGAAUUUCUGGGGAGGCUUAGGGACCAACACUGGGGAAACAAGAAGCUCCCCCAACCCAGGAUGUAGCCCCCCCAGGAGCAUGCAGUGAACUGGCUCCUUCAAUGGACAACUAAAGCAUAGUCCCCUGGGAAACAGCAUGAAGUUCAUGCCUCAUAAUCAUCCCACCCAAAGGGCCAGGGAGCUGGGAUAUUUAUGCUCCAAUUACUGAGAACCAUUGAUUGAAUUGAACCAUUGGCGGCUGCUCCCAGGAGCCUUCAUCUCCCUGCACUUUCCCACUGCAGCAGUUCGAGAGGAGGAAAGUCCUCAGACUCAGGGACAUGAAUUUCAGGUUGACCCUAGGUACCCUGGUUCCGUGAGGUCUGACUGAUGUGACUAGCAUUCUAACAAAAGUGAUGCUGGUACCCACCUCCAAUUCUUACUAGCCAAGUGCAAGAAACAAAGACCAUCUCAGACUCCAAAACUACCAGGGACAAUGAGGGAAGACAUCUAGGCACCUUUUGAGGCAUGCACCCCUCUGUGCAGGUGGGACACAUCUGUGGGUCCCAUUCUCAGAACAGCAGUCACAGACCCUGACCCAAAGAGCAGAAAGACAUAGACCUCUAUGUGUGUUCCAUCUUACUGGAUUUGAACUUUGAGCUGCAUAAGGUUAAGAAUAAACCAUUCUGAGAAAUUCAAUAGCUGUUUACCAGUGUGAAAAACACAUGAAUGAUAUUCCUCAUACAUCCAGGUAGCCCGAUGAUGGCACUCAGGGUCUGAAAGCAUCCUGGAUGUUGGUAGCAGCCUGCAGUGAGAAUGGGACCCAGUGGUGUGAUCCAGCAUCCCUCUCCUCUCUCAUUAUUCAUGCUGCCUGCUGUGCUGCGAAGCAUCAGCCGGAUCCAGCAGAAAAUAGUUUACAAAUGGGAAAAUACCAGGCAACAGCGAUUAUUUAAAAUCUGUUUUUAAAAUCUUACAGCCAUUAGAUCCCCAGUAGCACAACUGAAAAUAUUUCGCCCACAAGUCUGCGGCCACCAAUAAAUCAUGCUACUGUCAUUUUUCCAUGUUUCCUUCCAGGGAAAGACAAGACUCUGGGGGAAGAAAACAGUAAGAUAACACAUGUUAGAAAGGGAUAGAGUGAAACAAGCUGCCCAAAGGAGAUGGAUAUUCAGAUAUUUUGGAGAGGAACUGGCCAGCCUUGGAAUUUUAGUGAAAGAAAGUCUUAAAGGCAGACCUUGGCUGCUCUGGUCAGUGCCAACUCAGGAAGAAAGGGGUUUUAGUCAGUGGCUUUUUGAAUGUUUCCAGCUCUGCUUGGCAAGAUCACAGUAUCUUAGUGCAAUGCUAUUAGACACAUAACUUCUCUAGCUUCUUUGUUCAGCUUCCAUGUUCACCAGCAACAUUAUGACUCCUAGUAGCUCUGCAGACACAAAGAUAACAUUACAAUCCCUCACUGUGUCUAAUGUCCACUAAAACAGGUCUCAAGAGAAACCAGGAAUGACUCUCUCUCUCUCUCUCUCUCUCUCUCUCUCUCUCUCUCUCUCUCUCUCUGUGUGUGUGUGUGUGUGUGUGUGUGUGUGUGUAUGUGUGUGUGUGUGUGUGUGUAUACAGGGAUGUACAGCUGCAUACACCUAUGCUAGAAAAGAAUGUCAGGUGACUGCCUCUGGAUCUCUUUACCUUAUUGCCUCAAGGCAGGGUCUCUCACUGAACCAUAAGCCCACUGUUUUUCUCAUAGACCAUGGCUUUUGUAUCUGCUUUGGCUCCCUCUGUACCUUGUCUCUGUGGAGAGGAAGUGUCACGGCGCCAGGACAGACAUCUGUUUUAUAUGCCAUGUGCAUGUCUCUUACUAAGUCAUUAUCUUGGUACUCUUGUGUCUGCCUGAGCCUUUGAUAUUGUUUUCUUUAAUGAAAGAUAGCGUCUCAACCCUUAGGGAUUGACAAAACUGAGUUUGUAGGUCUUGAAAUUGUGGGUCUACAUCUAGGAAGACAAAGAAGAGAUAACAGUUCCUGAGAUAGCUUCCCUAGGACAGGCUUUGUGUGGUUUUGUGAGCAUCUUUUUGUCUCUGCCAAACUCAUCACAAGUGUCACAUACUCUUUGACUACUUAGAAGCUACUUAUUUAACACAUUAUAUGUCAAGAUGCUUUUCAAAUGUGGUCCUUUCUUUAGUGUCUGUAUUAGGCAGGGUUGUCCAGAAGAACAAAACCAAUAUCAUGUUCAUACAUUAUAAGAGGGAUUCGUUGGUUGGUUGGCUAACAUAAGAGGGACAUCCUAACAAUGGUUGUCUGCACAGUGGGAAGGGGUUUGAGAACCCAACCUGUUAGCUCUUCACUCAUCCUUCUCUGCUUCUGGGUUCCAGUUCAGUUCAGUGAUUAGUUGUGGGUGUCUGCUUCUACUUCCACCAGCUGCUGGAUGAAGGCUAUAGGAUGGCACAUAAGUUAGUCAUCAAUCGCAUUAUCGGGGAGGGCAUUUGAGGUAGCCUCUCCUCUGUUGCUUAGAUUGUUAGCUGGUGUCAUCUUUGUAGAUCUCCAGACAUUUCCCUAGUGCCUGAUUUCUCUGUAAACCAAAAAUGUCUCCCUCUAUUAUGGUAUCUCCAUUCUUGUUAUCAUCUAUUCUUCCCCUGAUUCAACCUUUCUGCUCCCUCAUGUCCUCUGCAUCCCUCCUCUUCUCCCCUUCUCAUUCUCCUAGCCCCCCCCCACUUCCCGUGCUCCCAAUUUGCUCAGGAGAUCUUGACCCUUUCCCCUUUCCCAGGGGACCAUGUAUGUCUCUCUUAGGGUCCUCCUUGUUUAUUAGCUUCUUUGGCAGUGUGGAUUGUAGGCUGGUAAUCCUUUACUCUAUGUCUAAAAUCCGAAUAUGAGUGAGUACAUACCAUGGUUGUCUUUUUGCGAUUGGGUUACCUCACUCAGAAUGGUUUCUUCUAGUUCCAUCCAUUUUCCUGCAAAUUUCAGGAUUCCAUUUUUUUUUCUGCUGAGUCGUACUCCAUUGUGUAAAUGUACCACAUUUUCUCUAUCCAUUCUUUGGUUGAGGGGCAUCUAGGCUGUUUCCAGUUUCUGGCUAUUACAAAUAGUGCUGCUAUGAACAUCAUUGAUCAGAUGUCCUUGUUGUAUGAAUGUGCUUCUUUUGGGUAUAUGCCUACGAGUGGAAUUGCUGGAUCUUGUGGUAGACUGAUUCCCAUUUUCUUGAGGAGUCACCAUACUGAUUUCCAAAGUGGCUGUACAAGUUGGCACUCCCACCAGCAGUGGAGAAGUGUUCCUCUAUCUCCACAUUCUCUCCAGCAUGAACUGUCACUGGUGUUUCUCUGCUCUUGAAACUAGAUGUUUAUGCAGCUCCAAUCCAGUGCUGUAGGUCUGGGAGAUUCUUAGGGAGUUACUAGUGUUCCCUCUACAUUGGAAGCUGAAGAAACUAGAGCCUGAUAUCAGUGGAGAAUGGCAACAGCAGUGGCAGCAGCAAAAGACACUGCCUCAGAAAGAAGCAGGUACACACUGAUUUUUCCCUUGAUUUGUUUGUAUCUGGGCUACCCUUUAGAAGGCAUGCCACCCACUGUGAAAGGGACUAACACCUUAGUUAAUUUUCUGUGGAAACACUCUCACAGACAUUCCUGUCAGUGUGUCUGGUUGAUUCCAUAUGCUGCCAGGUUGGCAUCAAGAAUAACCACCAUAGGACCCAUGGGGAACUGGUCCAAGGACUACAUGGGUGCUGAAAGUGGGAGUCUGCUUUUUGAACAUGAAGUCCUGAGUUCAAUGCCCAUCACCAGCAAUAAGAUAGCAAAGGAUUUGUGUACAACCUAUGAAUAUCCUCUCAUAUGCUUGAAACAAACUGUAUGACUGCAAUCCAAUGCAACUCCCAGGUGCUGUGAUUAAGAUAUGUGUCAUAAUAUCCUCUUUAAAAUAUUCUCAGUCUGUGGUAAGUAUAGCAAAUUUUGCAGUCAGAUGGCUAAUUGUACUAUUUCAUUUCAUCCUGACAAGCCUGUGUGAAUAAAUCUUUCUACUUCCUCUGUUAGCCAGGGUCCUUUUGGGGAACAGAACCAACGGAGUUAAUAUAUAUUAAAGGCUGAUUUACUAGGUUGGCUUUUAUGAUGUGGCCUGAGAAGUCCAACAAGGGCUGUCUCACACUGGAGAGGUCAGCAUUUACUUAGUCUAUGGGGCUGGAUGUCUCUACAGUCCCAAUGUGGCACUGAUGGUCUGAAGGAUCCCUGCUGAAUUGCUGGACUUCAGUCCAUACUGGAAGCCAGAGGAAGCUGGUUCAGUGAAGGAGUCAGCAGUAGCAGCAGGGUCAAUGAGCUUGCUUGCGAUGAGAGCUUUUAAAGGCACGUAGAUAGAAAGCAAAGCUUCCUUCCUUCACCUCACUUUUAUCUGCGCUUCCUACAUUUAGGGUAAAUAGUCUCAUUUCAAGUAAUCCAAUCAAGAAAAUUCCUCAUAGGAGUGUCCAGAAGAUGGCCUUUUAUUUGAUUCCAGAUCCAGUCAGGUCAACAAAGAUCUACUAUCAGACCCUCCCCUAUUUAAUAGGCAAGUGGGGUUAACAAUUGUCCCAAAACCACACAGUUGGUAAGCAUGGGAUUACUGUAUACAGUUCUAUCAUGUAAAUGUGCCUCAGUUUACCUACAUGUUGAUUUUUUAAAAAUUCUUCCUUCCCUUUUCCUUUUUCCGAUUGUCUACUAUGUAAGGUCUUCCCAUGUAGCCCAGGAUGGCCCAGAAUUCAACAUAUAGCCCAAGCUAAUCUUGAGCUUGAAAUCCUCCUCCAAAAUGCCUGGGACACAGAUGAUGUCAUCAUGCCCAGUUGAUUCUUUAACUCUCCACAAAACAUUUUAAUGCACACAUCUUUAUCUUCCUUUGGCAUUAGCUCUUCUUGCUGUGUUUCCAGAAUGUCAUGACCAUAUCCAAGAGGAUGGAUAUUUUUGUGUCUUACUGAACUAGUUUCCAAAAGGCCAGCAGAGACAGCCAUUCUGCAGCUCCGCGUUAAGGAUCCAGGAUGUUGAUGAGAGUGGAAACUUAGGAAGCAAAUGAUGAGGAUAUCCAUCUCUCCCCUAAG